rnacentral:rRNA from 1 species
CCUACGGGUGGCAGCAGUGAGGAAUAUUGGUCAAUGGACGCAAGCCUGAACCAGCCAUGCCGCGUGCAGGAAGACGGCUCUAUGAGUUGUCAACUGCUUUUGUACGAGGGUAAAUCCCGAUACGUGUAUCGGGUUGAAAGUAUCGUACGAAUAAGGAUCGGCUAACUCCGUGCCAGCAGCCGCGGUAAUACGGAGGAUUCAAGCGUUAUCCGGAUGUAUUGGGUUUAAAGGGUGCGUAGGCGGUUCGAUAAGUUAGAGGUGAAAUCCCGGGGCUCAACUCCGGCACUGCCUCUGAUACUGUCGGGCUAGAGUUUAGUUGCGGUAGGCGGAAUGUAUGGUGUAGCGGUGAAAUGCAUAGAGAUCAUACAGAACACCGAUUGCGAAGGCAGCUUACCAAACUACGACUGACGUUGAGGCACGAAAGCGUGGGGAGCAAACAGGAUUAGAUACCCUAGUAGUC